GCAAGUCGAACGGUAGAGGGGGCAACCCCUUGAGAGUGGCGAACGGGUCAGUAAUAUAUCGGAACGUGCCCAGUCGUGGGGGAUAACGUAGCGAAAGUUACGCUAAUACCGCAUACGAUCUAAGGAUGAAAGCGGGGGAUCGCAAGACCUCGCGCGACUGGAGCGGCCGAUAUCAGAUUAGGUAGUUGGUAGGGUAAAGGCCUACCAAGCCAACGAUCUGUAGCUGGUCUGAGAGGACGACCAGCCACACUGGAACUGAGACACGGUCCAGACUCCUACGGGAGGCAGCAGUGGGGAAUUUUGGACAAUGGGCGAAAGCCUGAUCCAGCCAUUCCGCGUGCAGGAUGAAGGCCCUCGGGUUGUAAACUGCUUUUGUACAGAACGAAAAGGUUUCUAUUAAUACUAGGAGCUCAUGACGGUACUGUAAGAAUAAGCACCGGCUAACUACGUGCCAGCAGCCGCGGUAAUACGUAGGGUGCAAGCGUUAAUCGGAAUUACUGGGCGUAAAGCGUGCGCAGGCGGUUAUAUAAGUCAGAUGUGAAAUCCCCGGGCUCAACCUGGGAACUGCAUUUGAGACUGUAUAGCUAGAGUACGGUAGAGGGGGAUGGAAUUCCGCGUGUAGCAGUGAAAUGCGUAGAUAUGCGGAGGAACACCGAUGGCGAAGGCAAUCCCCUGGACCUGUACUGACGCUCAUGCACGAAAGCGUGGGGAGCAAACAGGAUUAGAUACCCUGGUAGUCCACGCCCUAAACGAUGUCAACUGGGGUGUGGGUCUUUACUGACUCAGUAACCAAGCUAA
rnacentral:rRNA from 1 species